UGUCACUGGCAGGAUACGCGCUCUAAUUGAGCACUGCUUGACAUACAGCUCACACACAGCAGCGGAGACGGAGGCAGACAGCAGCUAGGUGAUUUCAGCUUCAGCGGUGGAAGAGUUUCUCCCCUUUAUUAUUUUUUGACCAACAAAUGUCAGCGGAUUUCUCUUGGGCUGCCCUUUGUUUGUUGUUGGGAACUGCCUCAACCUACCUAGCUACGCGAGAGAAAGAAAGAUAGACACUGCAAAAGAGCCGAGCAUCUGCUAAUUGUCGAUUACCACAGGAGCCAUGGUGGCAGCAGUCCUUAAGUUGUAUUUUAUUGGAACUGCGCUGAGCGUCCUUGCAGUCAUUUUUGGAAUAGUAGACUCAUUUGGUGGUCUGAUGUACACCCAGGACCAUCACUACAUUUUGGACUUGGACCAACAGACACAGAGGCAGCUGUCCUCGAGCAACCACCGGAGAGGAUCGCCCGUGACUAAAAACAUUGGCUCAUAAGGGAAACAUCUGGCACAAUUUACAAAAAAUGGCAGCUGGAUGGGCAUGCUGGCUACUGUGGCAAUGGAUCAAUAGACAGUGAGACUACGUUUAUAAAGACUGGAGAUAGCAAUUAUCCGGAUUGUUCUAUUGCUGAGUAUGGACUUCAAUGCAAUGUCUAACUUUCUAUGCGUUCUGUGUUAGACAGUUUGUUGAUAUGGAUGCAUAACCCCACAGCAUGUGUUUGUGUUUGCGCUACUCUUUAUGCUUUAAACACUGUAUCAGCUAAGAUGUGUUAAAGAAACUCCAAAUUGGAUGAGAACUGUAACAUCACUACUGACAAUAAUUAGCACUAAAAUCAGAAUGUUUUGUCUUUGCGAUGUGUGUAUUUUGAGGGUUUUAGUAUUCAAAUAAAAUGUAUUUUUUUUUUUAAACAUUGAAGUGUUGCAAUGAGUAAGAACUGCUGCCUCUCUUGGCUACAGAAAGACAUGGACUUCCUGUUUACUGAAGAGUUAGUUGGAAGCUGACGAAUAAGUAUAAAAUGAAGUGAAAAAUACUGACACAAUUUCAGCAUUGAUUUAGGAACUAAAGGUUGAGCCUUGUGUGAUUGCUGAAGUGCUGUGACGCAUAGGAUUUUUCUCUGUUGAAGCAUGGUGACAUACCACUGGUUGACUGACUGGCUUUUCAGCUAAGUGCAUUGAGGACAAUUGGCAAACAAUGAGGCUAAGCGCCGCGAGGACAGCUGGCAGUGAAUCACGCAAACUACGCCUUCGCCUGAGGUUACAGCUAAUUACUUAGGCUUUUUCCCCUCAACAUCAUCCCAACACUCCACAAGACUAAAACUGAACUAAUAAUUUCCACUGUAAAUGAGGAUAUGUGCAUACUAUAAGGUGUAAAUAGCAUUUGGCA